CCUUGCCAGCCCGCUCAGAACUCAAAGGAAUUGACGGGGCCCGCACAAGCGGUGGAGCAUGUGGUUAAUUCGAAGCAACGCGAAGAACCUUACCAGGCCUUGACAUGCAGAGAACUUUCCAGAGAUGGAUUGGUGCCUUCGGGAACUCUGACACAGGUGCUGCAUGGCUGUCGUCAGCUCGCGUCGUGAGAUGUUGGGUUAAGUCCCGUAACGAGCGCAACCCUUGUCCUUAGUUACCAGCACGUUAUGGUGGGCACUCUAAGGAGACUGCCGGUGACAAACCGGAGGAAGGUGGGGAUGACGUCAAGUCAUCAUGGCCCUUACGGCCUGGGCCACACACGUGCUACAAUGGUCGGUACAAAGGGUUGCCAAGCCGCGAGGUGGAGCUAAUCCCAUAAAACCGAUCGUAGUCCGGAUCGCAGUCUGCAACUCGACUGCGUGAAGUCGGAAUCGCUAGUAAUCGUGAAUCAGAAUGUCACGGUGAAUACGUUCCCGGGCCUU
rnacentral:rRNA from 1 species